UCAGUCUAUUAUCGACAACGCAGCAAUUAAGAACAAUGAAUUUAUAAAGGAGUGUGAAAAUAAGCAAUUUCCCAAGGAAAAAGCAAGAAUUUUACAAGAAAAUUAGUGAAUUUUAAUAAAAUACAGUGUAAAUAAUAUAAUACAACAGAAAUAAACUUGAAAAUUUGUGAUUUUAAACCCCAAAACAACUAAAGAAAAAACUACGGAAAUUUUUUUUAGAAAGUUCAUACAAAGCAAAAUAAAAGAAAAAAAUUGCUUGUGUAUGCGAUGGACUAAAAAAACACACACACACACACAGACUUCAAUAUAAAGUGUAGUGAUAAAUAACACAAAAAAUAAUAACAAAAAGUGCUAAAACAAAAAAAAAAAAAUAUUUAGUACUUUUUAUAACUCACCUUUUUUGCUUUUGUUUCUAGAGUAAACACAAACAAUUAUAUUGUUUGUGAAUGGCUGCUCUUUGUAAUAAACUACAAAAACUACAAACAAUUAAAAAAACAAACAAUAAAUUUGCAAUAAAUAGUUUAAAAAAUAGAUUUAGUUGUAAAGAAAAACAAUUGAUUAAAAAACAAAAUCUUGUUUUCAAGCAGCCAUCUUUAAUUUUUCCACUAAAAAACAACAACAACAGCAAGACAAAAGCAGUUAAAGCAACAAGAACUAGUAGAAUAACAACAACAAGUAAAACAGUGACAACAACAACAGCUAUAACGAUAACAUAGCAAUAAAUCCCACCACAGCACAGUAAUAAUAAUAACAACAAAAACAAAUAGUGCGUGCGUGUGUGCAUAUGUCAAAAAUUCUGUGUUGUUUUUUUCCAGUUUUAUUUUUUGCUCAUGUUUUAUUGCGUUUUUUGUUUUCGUGCUCUCCAUCUACUAAAAAUUGAUUAAACUCACCACUACAAUUACAAGACUGCUGUUGGCUUUCUUUUAUUUUGUGAAAUUCUCCACCUUUUCUAUUAUUACAUUUCAUUCAUAUACAAUACCAACAGAGAAGAAGUUUCCCAAAAAAAGAAGCAAAUAAUAAAAAAUAGAUGAAAAACCCUAACGAAUUUGUAUGCUAAAAGAAAUUUUAAAAUUAAAACGCAGUUUUAACUUCGUGUUACAGAAAAGUUAUUAUCCUUUAAAAUUGCAAAUUUUUAAAUGAAAUCAAUAAGAAAAAAUUCACUAAAUUUUAAAAAUUAACAGACAAAAAAAGAAAAACAAUUUGUGUUGAAGAAAUCAAUAAAACUUUUAUUUUUUUUUGUAAAAUUGUGAUAAUUAUAACAAAAAAACGAAUAGUGUAUAAAAAAUAUUAUCAAGGAAGGAGAACAUUGACUGGAGAAGUUAACAAAAAUGGAAAUUGCCUUAAAUUCAGACACACCAGGAGGUUUCAAACAUGAAAAUGCUAUAGCCUCACAAAAUGGAUUAGCGCUCCUAGCAUCAAUUACGCUUAAAAAUGCACUAAAUAUCAAUAAUAAUAACAACAACAACAAUAAUAAUAAUACUACUAGUAAAAAUAAUAACAAUAUCAAUAAAAAUAACAACAAUCAUUUAACUUUGAAUCACAAUAAUAAAAACAAUAUCAAUAAACAUCAUAAAACACCACAACAACAGCCACAACAUGGUUUUAUUUCAACAUCAACAUCAGCAAUUGCAUCGUCAUCAUCAUUAUCAUCAACAACGUCGUUGUCAAAUUCAAAUACUUCAACAACAACUACAACAAUACAAACACCACAUUUACAACAAAUACAAGAACAUAAAAAUGUAUUUACAUUUACAGCAGCCGGUCUACAAGCUUUAACAGCCACAACUAUAUCAACAAUUAAUACAGAGAUUGGAGCAACUGCUGUUAAUCAAACACUACAGCAACAAACAACAACAGCACUAGCAACUAUUGCUGCAUUAUCCUCUCAUAAUAGCCACAACAAUAAUAAUACCAAUCAUCAUAAUAAUUCUUUAUCAACGAAUCAUCAUCAGACAAACAACAAAACCUCUAGUGCAAAAGAUCCUACUGUAGCUUUAUUAGAAGCCUUAUCUAUAAAAACAAAUAAGAAACAACAAAAUGUUUCAACACAGCAACAGCAAAUAUCAGCUAGUACAGCAACAACAACAACAGCAGCACAACAACAACAACAUACGGCUGUAGGCAAUGGUGGCAAUAACAAUACAAAUACAAACACUAAUAAUAACAAUAACAAUGGCAACAAUGGUGGUAAUGGCAACAGCAAUAAAAAUAAUUUUAGAAUUCCGUCCGAUAUACUUGAUGAUCUGGCCAGUCGUUUUAUAAUUAAUGUUCCCGAUAUGGAACUAAGUAAUCUAAUACGUAUAUGCUUUCAAAUUGAACUGGCUCAUUGGUUCUAUUUGGAUUUCUUUUGCGCAUCGGAAGAGGAAAAAAAAUUACAACCAUGUGGUAUUAAACAAUUUGCUCUGCAAUUAUUUGAGCACAUCCCAUUCCUACGCCACCAUUUAUCUUCUAUAGAUAAAAUUUUGGAAGAUUGGAAAAAUUACAAAUUAUCCGUGCCCACCUAUGGAGCCAUUUUAAUAUCUGAGGAUCUCAAUUAUUGCCUUUUAGUGCAAUCAUAUUUUGCCAAAAGUUCAUGGGGUUUCCCCAAAGGAAAAGUUAAUGAAAACGAAGAUCCGGUACAUUGUGCCACAAGAGAGGUUUAUGAAGAAACCGGUUAUGAUAUCACUGAAUUAAUUGUACCAAAUGAUUAUAUUGAGGCUGUUAUCAAUUAUCAAUACACUCGUUUAUAUAUUGUACGUGAUGUUUCGUUAGAAACGAAAUUCUCACCACGCACUCGUAAUGAGAUAAAAUGCUGUGAUUGGUUUCCCAUUGAUUCGCUGCCUGUCAAUAAAAAUGAUGCCAUAUCAAAACCUAAAUUGGGCAUAAAUGCCAAUUCCUUUUUCAUGAUCAUGCCAUUCGUUAAACGUCUCAAAAAGUGGGUCAACGAUAAACGUAAUGGUGUCGAGACACGACGUAAAUACUCAGGUGGUGGUUCACCAACAUCCACAUCACCCUUGACCACCGGCAUUAUGAUGAAUGGUGGUGCUGGUCAAUUGAAAUCCAGUUGUAAGAAACAACAACAUCAACAAAAACGUAAUAAUUCAAAUAAUUUUAAUGAUGAUCUAAAUGCCUUAAAUAAUGCUGCUAAUAAUGGUGUUAAUGCAACAACAACAACAGCAACUACUAUGACAACAGCAGCAGCAGCAUUAUCUGCAUCUUCCUGUGGUAAUAAUACAAAUGCAAAUGUUAAUUGUUCAAAUUCGAAUUCAAAUCGUUCUAAAAGACAACGCCAUAAAUCAAUGGGUGAUUUGGAUGGUAUUAAAUUAAAUAAUUUUAAUAAUACUAAUAAUCAAAGUAAUUCUAAGACGACAAAUAAUAAUAACAACAACAAUAAUAAUAAUAAUAAUUGUGGUUCAACAACAUUAUCAUCAACAACUACAACGACCACUGCAAAUAGUGGUGGUAAUAAUAAUAACAAUAAUUGUAUUAAUACAAACAAUCAAAAACGUCAUUCAAAAAUUGUUGCUGCUGGCAGCAAUGUUUCCAACAACAAUACAAAUAAUGGUUGCAAUAAUAAUAAUAAUAAUAACAACAGCAUUAAUUGUGGUAACAAUUCAUCGUCAUCAUCAAAACGUCAAUUGUUCCAUAGCCAAAGUCAAACAAAUAAUUUACAGCAAAAUGGAGAAAAGAUUGUAAGUUCAUUUGACUUAAUACGCAAAGAGAAACAGCAAAUGAAAGCUGCUCUGGCCAAGGCGCAAAAACAACAACAAAACGCCAACAACAAUGGACGUCAAAGGGCCAAAUCCCAAAGUGAUAAAAUGUGUAUGCAGCAGCAACAACAACAGCAGCAGCAACAGCAAAAAACCAAUGGCAACAAUAAUAAUAAACAGCAACAACGUAUACAAAAACAACAAUCAUUAAUUGUUACCAAUACAAAUAUGCAAAAUUAUAAUAUGAAUAAUAACAGCAACAACAACCAUCAUAAUAAUAGCAACAACAGCAACAAAAACCACAACAAUAAUACAAAAAUUAAUGUAAAUAAUAGUUUUAACUGUAAUAAUAACAAUAUGACAACAGGAGGAUAUAAAACUCCCACACCUCCACCACUAAGUGGCAAUGAUUUAUUAGCUUUGGCAGCUGCUGCAGCCAAUACAACAGCAACAACAGCAGCAGCAGCAGCAGUAGCUACAUUAACACCACCUCAAACUAAAACUAUGCAAAAACUCUGCCAGUCAGGACAACAGCAACAACUACAACUUAAACCCAGACCCUCAUCAGUAUCAUUGCAUUUCCCCGAGGUUUCCUCCUCCUCCUCCUCCUCCUCCUCUACGAUUAAGAGAGAAAGCACAGAUUUAAUGGCCAACGGCCAAAUGCAUAUGCCACAACUACAACGCAUGGCUUCGGGUACAAAUUUACGUAUUUUAAAGAGAUCAACAUCCCAUCAACCAACGCAACAGCAACAACAACAUCCACAGCCACCACAAAGACAAGCCUCGGCUUUACAAUUUACACCCAGUUUUAAUUCAUGGACUAAUUUUACAUUUACCAAAAAUUUUAUAGCAAAUGUUUUUUGUUAAACCAGAAGAGUGGCUAAGGACAACAUCCCCCCAAAGUUGCAUGUAAGAAUUAUAUGUUUGGUGUUUGUUUCUCUGACACCCCUCUCCAUCCACACAACAACAAAAUACUUUUUAAAUGGGGCUGUUGGGGAUAAGUUGUAUUAUUUAUACUUUGUAUAUAAAUAAUGAGAUAACACACCGGAACACUUAACUAUUAUAAUGUAAAACUCCUAUACACAUACAAUUCACACUUAAUUUUAAGAAAAUGUUAAGUUUAAAAAAACACACAGGCCUCCUCUUUAUGCUUAACAAAGGUUAACAACAAACCAAGCAAUUAAACGCCUUAACAACUGGUUGUUAAUUAUAGAAAUAAUCUGUUAAAAAAGGCCCAAACAAAACUACUACAAGACCAGCUAUGGCCACAUUAUUUACUCCUUACUCUGGAGUAUUUACUGGAAAGUAUUUUAUGUGUAAAAAAAACUAUUUGAAAAGACUUGUUAAAAAAAAAAAAACAACUAAAAAACAAACUGUGGUAUUGAUAAAGUAAUUUGUUAAACAAACGAAAGAAAAAAAAAACAUGAGUUUAUUUUGUACUUUAGAUUUAAAAAGAAUUAUGGAAAAAAAUUGAAAAAAAAAACAAUUAAUAAAAAUUGAAAACACCAAAUGAAACAGCAGAACAAAAAA